UGUUCAUAAUAUCUAAAAGCCAUAAUAUCUAAAAGCCCAAACCCCUUUCACUUAAGCCAGUCCGAAACUGUUGCCAUACAAAAAAAACCCUAAUUUAUCCCCUCUCAUCAGUCAUCUUGCGCCUCAACGCACAAACAAUAGUAACCAUAACCAUGGCAGCGACACCACCAUCUCCAGUCCACUCAGUGCAAUGCUUCGGUCGCAAAAAAACCGCAAUCGCAGUAACCUACUGCAAGAUCAGUCGCGGUCUAAUCAUGAUCAAUUGAACCCCAAUCGAGCUAGUUCAACCGGAGAUCCUUCGCUACAAAGUGUUCGAGCCCAUCCUUUUACUUGGUCGAUCUAAAUUCAACGGUGCCGACAUGCGUAUUCGUGUGAAAGGAGGAGGUCACACUUCUCAGAUCUACGCUAUCCGACAAAGCAUCGCCAAAGCAUUGGUCGCUUACUACCAGAAAUUUGUUGACGUGGUGCUCGUGCUAGGUUCCAGAAUUCUUACCGUUUUCAUAUGCAAUGGUACAGUAAGUACUUCAAUUUUUAGUUUCUUUUGGUCAAGUGUGAUGUAAGAGAUAUCCUUGGGUGGGACAAAUUUUUAGCCAAGAGGUGCCACCAACUUCUGGCCAGCCUGUCAAAGAGCCCAUGUUCAUUCCAGUUGCAAUGGAUUUACUACCGAGAAGACAGAUGCCUACUAAGAAAAUAGAACACUUGAAGCUUUCAUUAUUUGUGCUUAAUCUUAUAGCUUCACUCUUGAAUUCAGAUUAGAUAUUGCGAUGACGAUUCCACUAUAUUUUGGGCGCUAGGUCCUGAUUUAGGAGUCAUAGUCAAACGUGUUGAGUGUUGCGGAAAAGAAAUCAAAAUGAGUAUUCCAUUUGAGGAAUUGGAUUCGGGGGAGGAAUGUCCAUUUGAAGUGGAGUUGAAGGUUCAUUAUUGCUUGAGUUAUGGAUUAAUGCAUUUCAUGAAGGUUAUAGGAAUGUCCACCUGCAAUAUUAUGCAUUUUUUGACAGAAGAUUUAAAGAAUUGGUUUCCAAUGGUGGGCCAGGUAAUGGAUGGAUUGAGCUUGUUCUCGUCGAGGCCAAGGAUCUUGUCGGUGCUGACUUCAGGGGAACAAGUGACCAUAUGUUAAAGUCCAGUAUGGAAAUGAGACGAGGAGAACAAAGGUAUUAUGCUGAAACAUGGUUUUCUUAUACCUGAAAUGGUAGCCUUAAUGUAAAUGUAGUAAUAAGUCACUGGAAAUCUGAAACUGCUUAGGAAGUUGUUGCGUUAACUGUAUGUAGCAAUAUGAGUUGCUGGCUUGCUUGUCAGUGGGCAAGGCUGGUGACAUGUUUUGACCUCCUAAAACCUGUCUUUGCCACAUUUGUUGUUGUUUGGCCAAGUUUAGAGUGUCAUGCUUUUUAAAGAUGACCCUGUUAUAUUUCCUACUUUGGUUUGCAAGUGCUCACUUUUCUCAUUUUCCGAAUAUUAAAUAUAGUGCUUAAAUUUUACUUUGGCAUAUCCAUGAAGGUUGUAUACAGGACUCUGGAUCAUAUAUGGAACCAAACGUUUGAAUUUUCCGAUGAUGGAAGUCAAUUCUAAUAUGCACUUUGUUGUUGCAAACCACCUUGAAAAGCUAAAAUCACCUGAAAAACUCAAAAUAAUGAAUGAAGAUUUUCAUUCUUUUUCCAAGAAAAUCAUAUUUUUUCUUAAAUUACCCAUUUCUAAUUCUCAACAUCACCAAAGACUUUCUAUUGAGGUUGAUUUGUGUGAUUCUAUUGCGCAGUUGAAGGAGAAUCACUACCAAAUUGAAGGUCUAAUUAUCAUAAACUUUUCCCUUUUCUUUUCCCAUUUUCUUGUUGUUUAUAUGGGUUUUUUAAUGUAUUUUUGUAAUCCUUAAUUUUGUAGUAUAAUCAUGGGAAAUUUGGAAUUAUAUAAUGAGGUUAUUUUUCUGAACUUGACGUAGCAAAAUUAUGUUAUACAUGGGGUUGGAAAAAAAAGUUCUAGUAACAAUUACAGAUAUAUUAAUUUGAUUUGCUAUCCUUUGAGAUUCGGUUCAUUUCCUAAACCAAUGGUUGAAAAUGCAUGAUCAGAAAAAUAGUGGAUCUUUUAUGAGUCAUAAUCUGAACUAAUUAAUGAAAGAAAAUGGAAAGUAUCUUAAAUGGCUAAUCUUUACAUGGAGGAUUAAUAAAGGUUUAUAAAUUUAUGAUGGAAUCAAAAUCCCUUAUGAUCUCAUCUCCCUAAAACAAAUUAGUAUGUUGAUGUUACUUUUUUUGCCUCCUAUUCUUUGUAUUUUCAAGAGUUGUAAUAUCUGAAAGAUGUUUUAUGUUAUUUAUGGUGCUAAUUAGUAAUUAAUACCUUUCACAAUUGACAAAGAAGUUUCUGUAAUCUGUACUAAAUGUGGAUAGUUGAUUUACUGGUUUUCCUAAACGUCUAUUAACAUUGUACGUGGAGAGGAUUAUUGAGUUGCAGGAUAAUAGAUAUUUACGCGAAUAUGAGCUCACAGACGGAUCUGAGAUCGAUAUUUUGAUUAAGCCAUCCUCAGUGCCUACGCCUUCUGGCAUAACGAACACAAUCUCGAACACGAGUGCAAAGAAGUUGAAAGUCAUCGUGCUAUCAAAGUGUGAAACUAAGAGGCUGAUUGUGGAUGUUAAUCCCAUGGAAAGAGUUUAGGUGCUUUUUUAAAGACAGAUUUUGUAUGUACUUCUGUUAUACUAUAAUGUUAGUGAUGAAAUAAAGGGCUGAAACUGUGCAAAUAUAAGUUUUAAGGAAUGAGCUGGAAAAGCUGCAACAUGAAAUGCAUGGAACGCUUGCAUUCAUUUGUAAAAUGUGCAGGCAGAUGCUGCUUUUGGAUUGCA